UGUAUGUCUCAGGCCUGGUAGAAUCAU
rnacentral:piRNA from 1 species